CUUCACCGACCCCAGCCACAGCGGCUCGUCGCGGUCCUGCCCGUAGGUCGCGAGCAGCGCCUGCGCCUC
rnacentral:antisense_RNA from 1 species